rnacentral:rRNA from 1 species
UACGUAGGGUGCGAGCGUUAAUCGGAAUUACUGGGCGUAAAGAGUGCGCAGGCGGCUUCGCAAGUCGAGUGUGAAAUCCCCGGGCUUAACCUGGGAAUUGCGCUCGAAACUACGGAGCUGGAGUAUGGCAGAGGGAGGUGGAAUUCCACGUGUAGCGGUGAAAUGCGUAGAGAUGAGGAGGAACACCAAUGGCGAAGGCAGCCUCCUGGGCCAAUACUGACACUCAUGCACGAAAGCGUGGGGAGCAAACAGG